GAAUUGCAGUAAUAUUGAUGCAAUGAAAACCAGAAAAUGUCAUAUUCAUUCAUAGUUUGCUAUAAAAGGUUUCACAAUUGCAAUUGACACACCCAUCAAGCUGAUACAACAAUAAAACAAUCUUUAUAAUUAUGAAAAGUUUACUUUUAAAUUCAGGACAGGUUCGAAAAUUGCAUUUAACACUUUGGAUAUUCUGUAUUCCCACCCAUCCUAGUAACUUAUAAUAAUAACAGUAAUUCUCAUAUUUCUUGGAAUAUUGUUUAAAGGGCUAAGUAAAAGGUCGAGAAUUGCAUAUUUUUUUUUCCCAAUGAAUUCAUUCGCUUUGCUCGCUUUCACAACAUCUUCCUCAUGAAUGCCUUCGUAACGAUUAUUCCCCCUUUUCUCUUUCAUUGCUCACGAUCAGCAAUGCAAUAGAAAAUGGUACACACUUUCCAAUAAUACUGAAAGUAAUAUCUUGCCUAUGAAUGAUCAAUCAAAUCAAAUAACAAUAGAACAAUAAUAAACAACAAUAAUAAUAAGCAA
rnacentral:lncRNA from 1 species